rnacentral:rRNA from 1 species
UGGGUUUGACAUAUACCUGCCCCCACUGGAAACAGUGGUUUCUCUUCGGAGACGAGUAUACAGGUGCUGCAUGGCUGUCGUCAGCUCGUGCCGUGAGGUGUUCGGUUAAGUCCGGCAACGAGCGCAACCCGUGUCGCUAGUUACCAUCAGGUGAAGCUGGGGACUCUAGUGAGACUGCCCGUGUCAAGCGGGAGGAAGGCGCGGAUGACGUCAAGUCAGUAUGGCCCUUAUGUCCAGGGCUGCACACGUGCUACAAUGGGCGGCACAGAAGGAACCGAUACCGCGAGGUGGAGGAAAUCCCGAAAACCGUCCCCAGUUCGGAUCGGAGUCUGCAACCCGACUCCGCGAAGU